AUACGGAGGGUGCAAGCGUUGUGCGGAUUUAUUGGGUUUAAAGGGUGCGUAGGCGGUCUAUUAAGUCAGUGGUGAAAGUCCUGGGCUCAACCGAGGGAUUGCCAUUGAAACUGAUGGACUUGAGUUCAGUAGAGGUAUGCGGAAUUUAUGGUGUAGCGGUGAAAUGCAUAGAUACCAUAAAGAACACCGAUAGCGAAGGCAGCUUACUAGACUGAGACUGACGCUGAGGCACGAAAGCGUGGGGAGCAAACAGGAUUAGAUACCCCAGUAGUCC
rnacentral:rRNA from 1 species